rnacentral:rRNA from 1 species
GGACUACAAGGGUUUCUAAUCCUGUUUGCUCCCCACGCUUUCGCGCCUCAGCGUCAGUAUCGGUCCAGUGAGCCGCCUUCGCCACCGGUGUUCUUCCCAAUAUCUACGAAUUUCACCUCUACACUGGGAAUUCCACCCACCUCUCCCGAUCUCUAGCCUCUCAGUCCCAAAUGCUAUUCCCAGGUUGAGCCCGGGGCUUUCACAUCUGACUUGAAAGACCGCCUGCGCGCCCUUUACGCCCAGUAAUUCCGAACAACGCUCGCCCCCUUCGUAUUACCGCGGCGGCUGGCAC